rnacentral:lncRNA from 1 species
GAGUGCCGGAAAGAAGUCAGAGACUAUUGGUUCCCAUCUCUGGAGAAUCAUCAUUCAUCUCUUUAAGUGAUAUGGCGCGCCUAAGAGGAUAGCUUGAAGGUCCUGUUCAGUUUCAAACUUAAACUGAAACAGGUGUGGCCCCAAGGCCCUUCCAGUGAUAGAUCCCGCCAUACGCCAAUGCUGAAGGAAGAACUCUACUAGGGCUCUGGUUUUUUGGACUGAGGGGUUUGUGACUCUCCCUAUGAGGG